UUAAUACCGCAUACGACCUGAGGGUGAAAGCGGGGGAUCGCAAGACCUCGCGCGAUGGGAGCGGCCGAUAUCGGAUUAGCUUGUUGGUGAGGUAAAGGCUCACCAAGGCGACGAUCCGUAGCUGGUCUGAGAGGACGACCAGCCACACUGGAACUGAGACACGGUCCAGACUCCUACGGGAGGCAGCAGUGGGGAAUUUUGGACAAUGGGGGCAACCCUGAUCCAGCCAUUCCGCGUGAGUGAAGAAGGCCUUCGGGUUGUAAAGCUCUUUCAGCAGGAACGAAACGGUGGCCACUAAUACUGGCUACUAAUGACGGUACCUGAAGAAGAAGCACCGGCUAACUACGUG
rnacentral:rRNA from 1 species